GUUCCCUCCCAGUAUCCCCCAGUCCCACCCAGUACCCCCAAUUCUCCUCCCAGUCCAUCCCAGUCCCUCCCAGUCCAUCCCAGUUACCUCCCAGUACCCCCAAUUUCCCUCCCAGUCCAUCCCAGUCCCUCCCAGUCCAUCCCAGUUCGCUCCCAGUCCAUCCCAGUCCCUCCCAGUACACCCAAUUCCCCUUCCAAUCCAUCCCAGUAUCCCCAAUUCCCCUCCCAGUCCCUCCCAGUACCCCCAGUUCCUCGAAUUCCCCUCCCAGUCCUUCCCAGUCCCUCCCAGUACCCCCAAUUCCCCUCCCAGUUCCCCCAAUUCCCCUCCCAGUCCAUCCCAGUCCCUCCCAGUCCCCCUUUAGCCCCUCCUGGUCCAUCCCAGUCCCUCCCAGUUCCCCCAAUUCCCCUCCCAGUCCAUCCCAGUCCUUCCCAGUCUCCCUUUAACCCCUCCCAGUCCAUCCCAGUUCACUCCCAGUCUCCCUUUAACCCCUCCCAGUCCAUCCCAGUCCCUCCCAGUACCCCCAAUUCCCCUCCCAGUCCCUCCCAGUUCCCCCAAUUCCCCUCCCAGUCCCUCCCAGUUCCCCCAAUUCCCCUCCCAGUCCAUCCCAGUCCCUCCCAGUCCCCCUUUAGCCCCUCCUGGUCCAUCCCAGUCCCUCCCAGUUCCCCCAAUUCCCCUCCCAGUCCCUCCCAGUUCCCCCAAUUCCCCUCCCAGUCCCUCCCAGUCCCCUCCCAGUCCCUCCCAGUCCCCCUUUAACCCCUCCCAGUCCCUCCCAGUCUCCCCAGUACCCACCGGGUUGAAGCCCCCCCCCCGCGGGCCGCAGGGGGUGGGGCAGCAGCGGUGGGUGUGGCCGGGGGGCGGGGCUAAAGGCCAGAGCCCAGGGCUGGCGCAGCACCUGGUGGGUGAGGAUAUGCAAAUGAGGCUUGCAGCCACACCCAAUGUGCCAGCCAAUCACUGCGACGCUCUUUAGGCCACACCCUCCGGUGACCACACCCCAUUGGCCAUAUAAG
rnacentral:lncRNA from 1 species